GCAUCUGUCAAAUAUCUUGUGUUCUGUG
rnacentral:sRNA from 1 species